rnacentral:rRNA from 1 species
UACGUAGGGCGCGAGCGUUGUCCGGAAUUAUUGGGCGUAAAGAGCUCGUAGGCGGCCUGUUGCGUCCGCUGUGAAAUCCCAGGGCUCAACCCUGGGCGUGCAGUGGAUACGGGCAGGCUGGAGGCAGGCAGGGGAGAACGGAAUUCCCGGUGUAGCGGUGAAAUGCGCAGAUAUCAGGAGGAACACCAGUGGCGAAGGCGAUCAUCUGGGGUUGUUCUGACACUGAGGAGCGAAAGCUAGGGGAGCAAACGGG